UUGUUGCCUCGGCGGAUCAGCCCGCUCCCGGUAAAACGGGACGGCCCGCCAGAGGACCCCUAAACUCUGUUUCUAUAUGUAACUUCUGAGUAAAACCAUAAAUAAAUCAAAACUUUCAACAACGGAUCUCUUGGUUCUGGCAUCGAUGAAGAACGCAGCAAAAUGCGAUAAGUAAUGUGAAUUGCAGAAUUCAGUGAAUCAUCGAAUCUUUGAACGCACAUUGCGCCCGCCAGUAUUCUGGCGGGCAUGCCUGUUCGAGCGUCAUUUCAACCCUCAAGCCCCCGGGUUUGGUGUUGGGGAUCGGCGAGCCCUUGCGGCAAGCCGGCCCCGAAAUCUAGUGGCGGUCUCGCUGCAGCUUCCAUUGCGUAGUAGUAAAACCCUCGCAACUGGUACGCGGCGCGGCCAAGCCGUUAAACCCCCAACUUCUGAAUGUUGACCUCGGAUCAGGUAGGAAUACCCGCUGAACUUAAGCAUAUC
rnacentral:rRNA from 1 species